rnacentral:rRNA from 1 species
AUUGAACGCUGGCGGCAGGCCUAACACAUGCAAGUCGAACGGUAACAGAAGAGCUUGCUCUUUGGGUGGCGAGUGGCGGACGGGUGAGUAAUGUCUGGGAAACUGCCCGAUGGAGGGGGAUAACUACUGGAAACGGUAGCUAAUACCGCAUAACGUCGCGAGACCAAAGUGGGGGACCUUCGGGCCUCACACCAUCGGAUGUGCCCAGAUGGGAUUAGCUAGUAGGUGGGGGAAUGGCUCACCUAGGCGACGAUCCCUAGCUGGUCUGAGAGGAUGACCAGCCACACUGGAACUGAGACACGGUCCAGACUCCUACGGGAGGCAGCAGUGGGGAAUAUUGCACAAUGGGCGCAAGCCUGAUGCAGCCAUGCCGCGUGUAUGAAGAAGGCCUUCGGGUUGUAAAGUACUUUCAGCGGGGAGGAAGGCGGUGAGGUUAAUAACCUUGCCGAUUGACGUUACCCGCAGAAGAAGCACCGGCUAACUCCGUGCCAGCCGCCGCGGUAA